GCCACCUCCUUGCUCACCGAGAGCACUUGGCUAGUGAGAUUUCAAUCUUUGCAAACUUUGUUCCUUUUUUCUUCUGAGCACUAACUAGAACAACUUCAGAAAGUGUUUGAGUUUGUAUGUCACUAUGUUCUGAAGAUAACGACCAGCUUUGUCAUCCGAUAGCCCAAGUUUUUCUUAUGGUGAAGUGAUCUUCCAUUGCAGCAAAUGGAUGCUCCAACUACGUAAUAAAUCAGUGAAACCCGGUAGGUGUACUACAUGCAAGCUUUCGGAAAUUAAGUUUCAAGGUCAUGCUACAAAUAUUGCUAGAGAACUUCUUUCUGUCUAUUUUUCUGCACAUGUAGACUGAAAGUGAAGUAACGCUUCUAGAGUUUAAUAGUUUUAACUAGUGAAUGUGUUAGUUUUAUGAAAAUAGAUAUAUGGGGUUUGAUCUGGAAUUUUCUUCUGUAAUUUUCUAUUGCCAGUUUGCCGCUGCUCCCAUUCAUGUGAUUCAGGAAUUUAAUUAUCAGUAGUUGUCUAUCAUAGUAGAAAUCCCUUCAAGUGUUGCAACCUUUAUUAUUGAAUUGAAAAACAUUUGCCUGAUAAUUUAAUUUUCUAGAGUAAAAUGAGAGCAAUUGGGUUGUGUACUGUCGCCCCUACUGGAAAUUGCAUGGCAUCAUGACUUAUUGAAUUACCAGAUCCCCUGUUCUUAAAACUGUUUUUAUUUAGCUUAACGCUUAAGAACAAAUUCAACCAAAGCUAUGUUCACGGAGAUGGUAAAUAUCUUAAGAUGUGCCUGUGGUUCAGAUUUUAGAAAAUACCUACUCGCAGUGUCACAUGCAAGUAAUAUGACCUUGGUAGUACAGUACCUUGUCAUGCAGGGCCACAAGUAAUAUAAGACUAUUGUUUUGUUGCUGAUAAUUAGAACGUUUGGAUGCUCGUUGUUUAGGUUCUGCGUCUAGUUUGGUAGUAGUGCUGGUGUGUGUGGCUUAGUUACUGAUGUUUUGAGGUACCCCUGGAGGGGGAUGAACUUGAGAUAUGUGAUGUUUUGAGUAAUGGAAAUUGGGAGAUAUGCUCCUAAGUAUAUUUUUAAAAAAAGAAUCAGGUCAUGGGGCUAGCUGACUACCAUGCUCUUUUCUCCUAUAUGUAAUUCUUACAAACUAUUCCCUAAUUUUCAUUUGAUGCUUUCACUGAAAUAAUAUUUUGGAUUGUUUGUUUUGUGAUCGGUGUGCAUCUUGUUUGUCCUCUCCACCAAGCAGUGUCGACUACUCAAUACAAGCACAUAAGCUUAUGCCCUUAUGAAGUUAUGAUUAUAUAUUUACCAAAGACUAUUAUGGUUAAUAGCUUUAAAGUCUUUGCUUCUAUAUGCAGCUGAGAAUGACUUAUAAGUUCAUGGCAAAAGCAGCAACAUCAGUACGUAACCACAAGCAAGCUAAGGGGGUAAUAAUCUUGGUAUUUAAGUCUUAGAUUCAGUAUUUUGCUUUUUGGAUACAUGAACAUUGAAACUUAUUUAGCAUUUCGUUUCUUAUAUGCUUCAUGCAAAUAAAACUGCAGUAAAAUAUGAGCCGAGAUUUUGCUUGGCAUGUGUAUGUAUGCAUGCCCUGAAUUUGCUUAGUAUUUUUAUGCAUACAACUAUUGGAAGCUUUUACAUGUCCUGGAACUGAGCUUUUGCAUGCCCUGUGUUUUCUGAAGCUGAGUCUUUUGUUAUUGGCUAGUACUUGAAACGGAGUCGCAGGCCUCCUACCAUAUAACCAUUUAUGAAGUGCAUAUGUGAUGCCUUAUCUUGUAUUCCUACAAAGAGUCCAGUAUAUUUUUCAUGUGUAAAAAGUGGCUGACCUGGCAUUACACUGUUAAGUAUUUUGUACACAUCAGGAAUCUUGUUGUAGAUACACACUGAGCUGAAAAUGUUGCUAGCAGAAAUAGGUUUUCUGUUAGCUACGCAUCUGGUUUAAAACAUGGUAUGACUACUUGCUUUGGAAUAGUAACACCUUGAUAUUAUCUGAUCCUAUCUCAUGCAUAUUUUAGUUAUUUCUAGACAAAGCUUUAGGAACCGAGUUCACUACAACUCGAAGUCUUGUGCAUGGAGGAGAAUUGAGAUAUUUGCGCAUUCUGUACUAGUCAAAAGGUAUGUGUAGAUAUUCUGCUCAUUCUAGUUCAUGCUGCUACUUUAUUAAGGUCUUCUUUUAUGAGCCUCUACCUUGUGCAAAUAAUAUGAUUACUUAGCAGCCUGGUUUCAUAGCUUUGAAUCUCAUGUGAAUAAACUAUAUGUCUAGGUGUUUGCUGUUCUUUGCUUAACUAGAUAUGGAAGUAUAGACAACAAGCUCAUGUACAAGAUGGAAAUUAUGAUGGUUAUUUAGUUUAUUUCAUUGGUUCUCAGCAUAUUAAUUGAUUGUAACGUUCUAGCUUUAUUUAAUAAGAAGAUGUAAAAGAAACAACAAGUAAUCUCCAUUUUUUGUUCUAUAAUAUAGAUAGUUUACCAAGCUUCUUAACUUAUAGCAGAUCUACCAUCUUCUCCUUUCAGGUUGGCAUCAUGGUUGGAAGAUCUUGUGUGCUACUCUCUACACGAUAUUUCUUCUACAUGAUAGCACUUGACGUCUACAUGAUAGCACUUGAAGUCUACAUGAUGUUUCUUGUAUUCAUAGCUCAAACCAUUUGUUUAGCUUAGUUUGAACAAAAAAUAUUAUUGUCUUACAUGUAAAUAAUGUUUACUAAUGUAGCUGGAUGCUACUGAACGCAUGUACGAAAGUCAAAAUACUAAGUGUUAGUCAUUAUGUGUUUGAGAACUGCCAUUGAAUCUUGAGUGAAUUCCUGUAUGAAUAGAAAUCAAAAGAAAUAUAAAUGCUACCAAAUUCC
rnacentral:lncRNA from 1 species